rnacentral:misc_RNA from 1 species
GUCUCAAGAAAUGGGUAUGGG